rnacentral:misc_RNA from 1 species
AAGAGUUUAUUAACUUUGCUAAAAGUAAUUUUUAUCCUUACAUUACUAAAAAUAUAGUUUUUAAAAAAAUAAUAAAAAUAAAAUAAUAAUAAACUGAAUUACAAUCAUCGUAAUAUUUUUUUUUUGUAACAAAUUAAAGUAGUUUUAAAAUAUUUUUAUGGCAUUACUUAUUUUGCUGUUGAAGCUUCUGACAGUUAAAGUAAAUAGCAACUAAUAAUAUUUAUAUGGUUUGUUGAAUCAAAGUUCAAUAAGAGAAUGUAUCAGUUUUUUAGGUUACAAAAAUGUUGUUACAAGUUAAGGAUUACUUUAUAUUUGAUUAAAAUGAUUUUAACAAACUCAGAUUCUUUUUUUAUAAUUCAUGAAUUGCAGAGACCAUUUGAUAUAAUGAGCAAUUGAAGGUCACACAACCCAACAACUUUAUGGAUGAAAUGAGAAGGAUGGCGUCUGGUGAAAGUAUAGCUGGUAGGGCAGUGUUUUAUAUUUUAUAUAUUUUUUAUGGAGAAAUAUGUCCAAUAGUUGGAAAAAUUAAUUAAUAAAUAUGACACUUUUGAACUGGUUGCAUUAUCGCCCUAUAUUUUUAUUAAAAAACAAAAUGUUGCAUGUUUAACCCUUUUUAAUUUGCUCUCGUUUUUUUUUUUUUUUU